rnacentral:rRNA from 1 species
UUAUUGGGCGUAAGAGCUCGUAGGCGGUUUGUCGCGUCUGCUGUGAAAACCCGAGGCUCAACCUCGGGCCUGCAGUGGGUACGGGCAGACUAGAGUGCGGUAGGGGAGAAUGGAAUUCCUGGUGUAGCGGUGGAAUGCGCAGAUAUCAGGAGGAACACCGAUGGCGAAGGCAGUUCUCUGGGCCGUUACUGACGCUGAGGAGCGAAAGCGUGGGGAGCGAACAGGAUUAGAUACCCUGGUAGUCCACGCCGUAAACGUUGGGAACUAGAUGUGGGGACCUUUCCACGGUCUCCGUGUCGCAGCUAACGCAUUAAGUUCCCCGCCUGGGGAGUACGGCCGCAAGGCUAAAACUCAAAGGAAUUGACGGGGGCCCGCACAAGCGGCGGAGCAUGCGGAUUAAUUCGAUGCAACGCGAAGAACCUUACCAAGGCUUGACAUAUACCGGAAACUUCCAGAAAUGGUUGCCCCGCAAGGUCGGUAUACAGGUGGUGCAUGGUUGUCGUCAGCUCGUGUCGUGAGAUGUUGGGUUAAGUCCCGCAACGAGCGCAACCCUCGUUCUAUGUUGCCAGCACGUCAUGGUGGGAACUCAUAGGAGACUGCCGGGGUCAACUCGGAGGAAGGUGGGGAUGACGUCAAAUCAUCAUGCCCCUUAUGUCUUGGGCUUCACGCAUGCUACAAUGGCCGGUACAAAGGGCUGCGAUACCGUAAGGUGGAGCGAAUCCCAAAAAGCCGGUCUCAGUUCGGAUUGAGGUCUGCAACUCGACCUCAUGAAGUCGGAGUCGCUAGUAAUCGCAGAUCAGCAACGCUGCGGUGAAUACGUUCCCGGGGCCUUGUACACACCGCCCGUCAAGUCAUGAAAGUCGGUAACACCCGAAGCCGGUGGCCUAACCCCUUGUGGGAGGGAGCCGUCGAAGUGGGAUCGGUGAUUAGACGAAGUCGUACAGGG